GGGUAGCCGUGUGGCGCCCUGGAGGUAUCGGAAGUGCGAAUGCUGACAUGAGUAACGAUAAAGGGUGUGAGAGACACCCUCGCCGAAAGUCCAAGGGUUCCUGCGUAAAGUUAAUCUGCNNNNNNNNNNNNNNNNNNNNCUGGCGUUAUGGGUGAUAGCCCCGUACGGGACGGCGAAGGUUGAGGACAUGAGUAGGGCGGGACACGUGAAAUCCUGUCUGAAAUUGGGGGACCACCCUCCAAGCCUAAGUACUCCUCAGCGACCGAUAGCGAACAAGUACCGUGAGGGAAAGGUGAAAAGCACCCCGACAAGGGGAGUGAAACAGUUCCUGAAACCGGAUGCCUACAAAACAGUGGGAGCCCAAGGUUCGUCCUGGGUGACCGCGUACCUUUUGUAUAAUGGGUCAGCGAGUUAGUCUGGCGAGCGAGCUUAAGCCGGUAGGUGUAGGCGCAGCGAAAGCGAGUCUGAACAGGGCGUUCAGUUCGUCGGAUUAGACCCGAAACCGGGUGAUCUAGCCAUGGCCAGGCUGAAGGUGCGGUAACACGCACUGGAGGGCCGAACCGGUGCCUGUUGAAAAAGUCUCGGAUGAGCCGUGGCUAGGGGUGAAAGGCCAACCAAACCCGGAGAUAGCUGGUUCUCCGCGAAAGCUAUUUAGGUAGCGCCUCGAGUGAAUACUCCAGGGGGUAGAGCACUGGAUGGGCUAGGGGGUCCCACAGACCUACCAAACCCAACCAAACUCCGAAUACCUGGAAGUACUGCUCGGGAGACACACGGCGGGUGCUAACGUCCGUCGUGAAGAGGGCAACAACCCUGACCGCCAGCUAAGGCCCCUAAUUCGUGGCUAAGUGGGAAAGGAUGUGGGGAUCCCAAAACAACCAGGAUGUUGGCUUAGAAGCAGCCAUCAUUUAAAGAAAGCGUAACAGCUCACUGGUCUAGACAAGGGUUCCUGCGCCGAAGAUGUACCGGGGCUCAAGCCACGAGCCGAAGCUGCGGGUGUGCGAAAGCACACGGUAGCGGAGCGCUCCGUAAGCCAGUGAAGGGGUAGCCGUGAGGCGCCCUGGANNNNNNNNNNNNNNNNNNNNNNNNNNNNNN
rnacentral:ncRNA from 1 species